AGAUUAUGUCUCAAUACAGGAGAUCUCUUAGGGUGUCUCUUAGUACUACCAUGCCCUGUGAUUAAGGUCAAUGGGAAAUUACAACAACCCAAUCCAGGCAAGACUACAAAUGGCCCAGAGUUUUCAGGGAUGAAGGUUUGAGUCACCUUGCUGGGUAAAGAACCACGACCAGCUGAGGUGCUCACUGAAGACAAAGGGAAUACAGAGUGGCUAGGAUACGCUCUUCUGACUGUGGACAGCUGAACUCGAAACUCUUCAGCCUCUGGGUUCCACGACUUAUACCAGCAGCACCCUGGCUCUCAGGCCUUUGGCUUUAGGCUGAGAAUCACACCAUUUGGCUUCCCUGGUUCUGAGGCUUCUGGACUUGGACUGAGCCACGCUACCAGCAUCCAGUUCGCAGACCGCCUGUGGUGGGACUCCUCAGUCUUCACAAUCGCUGUAAACGCAGCACAAAGGAGUUAAGUGGAAGGAGUUGUACUGGGAGAGAGAAUGGGGUAGAAAAGCAAGCAAGAGGAGCUGCUAUUCCACUGGACGGUGCUAUUCCCAAAGAUGAAUGCAACCCCAACUAAUAUAGUACACCUAGUGGCAAAUGAGAACUCAUUCAAGCCAAGAAGGAACAUAUAUCCAAUGGAAAAGCCAACCUCAUAUAAUCACAAUUAGUUAACCUUAAUAUACACUUUCUGGUGGUCUGAAGGUGUAUAAGUGCCCUCUGUGCCUAUUCAGUAGUUCCCUACUGAAGACUGGAGAACUCGGCCUGCUACCGAGGACUGGAGAGCUCGGCCUGCUACCGAGGACUGGAGAGCUCGGCCUGCUACCGAGGACUGGAGAGCUCGGCCUGCUACCGAGGACUGGAGAGCUCGGCCGGCUACCGAGGACUGGAGAGCUCGGCCUGCUACCGAGGACUGGAGAGCUCGGCCUGCUACCGAGGACUGGAGAGCUCGGCCGGCUACCGAGGACUGGAGAGCUCGGCCUGCUACCGAGGACUGGAGAGCUCGGCCUGCUACCGAGGACUGCUCUGCAGCUCCCACUGCUCAGGCCACCAAAUGGGUAGGACAACCACUGAGUGGUCUUAAGCUGUUCUUUCAUUGGCUGUUAAGC